GGGCUGGAGCAGGUCCCAAGGGUUUGGCUGUUCGCCAAUUAAAGUGGUACGUGAGCUGGGUUUAAAACGUCGUGAGACAGUUUGGUCCCUAUCUUUCGCGGGCGUAGGAUAUUUGAGGGGAGCUGUCCCUAGUACGAGAGGACCGGGAUGGACGAACCUAUGGUGCUCCAGUUGUCGCGCCAGCGGCAUUGCUGGGUAGCUAUGUUCGGAACGGAUAACCGCUGAAAGCAUCUAAGCGGGAAGCCAACCCCAAGAUUAGAUAUCCCUUUCCCCUGGCAACAGGGGAAACUCAAGACCCCUCGAAGAUGACGAGGUUGAUAGGCCGGAUGUGUAAGUGCGGCAACGCAUUGAGCUUACCGGUACUAAUCGGUCGUGCGGCUUGGCCAC
rnacentral:rRNA from 1 species